UUAACUCUAAUAAGAGUGUUUUAUUCAAGCUUAUGGUUAAUCAUUGCUGAUUGCUAUGAAAAUUGUACUCUGUACAUCUUGCAUGUAUAAGUCAGGUAUGAAAGGCUGAUCACCUUCAUUACCAGUUGGUUCAGAAAUGUUUGUACAUGUUUAAAACUUGUUCAGUCAAAAGUUUGUUCCUGCUAGUUCUCAAUUAUAUUGAUGAAUUAUAGCCAGCUUAUUAUUCAUACUCUUCAAUCAUGAUAUAUCCUUAUAUUGUUGUAUUUAAACUUGCUGGGCAACUUUCAUGCUCACCCUUGCUAUAUCAUGAUAAAACAUUGCAGAUAAGGCAAAUGCGUUCGGAUACAGGAAAUGAUUAAAGCCAAGUUCAGCUUGGGUUAUAAAGUGCAGCUAGUUUGUCAUAGCGUAUUGUGAUAAGUUAUGUAAUAAAUAGUUUAUGAAAUGAUUAUAAGUUAAGGUUACUCGACCUUGGGGAAUAGUGUGUAAUGUAAUGUAUAAACAAUUUAUGUUUAUAUCUUCCGCAAACAGUUAUAGAAUGAUUAGUGUACCGAAUCCGCGGCGAUUUGGGGCCCAGAUUCGGGGGAUGCUACAAUAAUUAUAAUAAAACAUUGUAUAUUAUUCUAAAUUAGAUCUUUC
rnacentral:lncRNA from 1 species